AUCUUGUUCCAAUACAUUGAAAUAAGAAGGGGAGAAGUCAGACGAAUCCUUUGUCUGUGGGUAUUGAGUUUUACUCUUAAUUUCUCUUUUCUCUUCUAAAACUUUAUCUGUUGUUAACUUUCUCGCUUAAACUAGUUCUCUCUUAAUUUCUCACUUGAACUAGUUCUUAUUAAUCAAGUUUUCCUCUCAAUAUUGCAAGUAUUCUUAUCCUCUUUGGAUUUUUUUCUUUUCUUUUUCUUUGGGUGGGUUUUGUUGCAUCAUAGCUAGAUUGAGUAGAUAUUGUUGUUUAUACUUAUAAAAUAGCACCCGUACUAAUAUUUUGAUGUUACUUUUUUUUUGCUAGGAGGAAAUGCAACGUUUUGUUAAGAAAAUUGUGGAUUUGAUGCGAGAGGAAAUGUUGUUUUCAUGGCAAGGUGGUCCGAUCAUUAUGCUGCAGAUUGAAAAUGAAUACGGAAAUAUUGAAGGGAAGUUUGGGCCGAAAGGAAAGGACUAUGUUAAGUGGGCAGCAAAGAUGGCUUUAAGCCUUGGUGCUGUGUAGGCAAACUGAUGGUCCGGAUGAAGUUGUAAGGUCUUAGCCAAUGCUUUAAAUUUUCUGAACUUAUAUAUUAUGGCUGUAAGAAUGUAUAGGGACAGGUGAAACUUUCAGAGUAGUGGCGGUUAAAUUUUAUCAAGUGUGGUAUCUUAAUAUGCUGUUUUUCAUAAAUUACUUUCUUCAUUUACAGAUAGAUGCAUGCAAUGGAUACUAUUGUGAUGGUUAUAGGCCAAAUUCCUAUAACAAACCCACACUUUGGACUGAAAAUUGGGAUGGAUGUACUUUGGUGGAACAAACUUUGGUUGGACUUCCGGCAGACUGUUCUAUAUUACUAGUUAUGAUUAUGAUGCUCCAAUGGAUG